rnacentral:rRNA from 1 species
AGUGAACGCUGGCGGUAGGCCUAACACAUGCAAGUCGAACGGCAGCACAGUAAGAGCUUGCUCUUACGGGUGGCGAGUGGCGGACGGGUGAGGAAUACAUCGGAAUCUACUUUUUCGUGGGGGAUAACGUAGGGAAACUUACGCUAAUACCGCAUACGACCUACGGGUGAAAGCAGGGGAUCUUCGGACCUUGCGCGAUUGAAUGAGCCGAUGUCGGAUUAGCUAGUUGGCGGGGUAAAGGCCCACUAAUGCGACGAUCCGUAGCUGGUCUGAGAGGAUGAUCAGCCACACUGGAACUGAGACAGGGUCCAGACUCCUACGGGAGGCAGCAGUGGGGAAUAUUGGACAAUGGGCGCAAGCCUGAUCCAGCCAUACCGCGUGAGUGAAGAAGGACUUAGGGUUGUAAAGCCCUUAUGUUGGGAAAGAAAAGCAGCAGGUUAAUACCCCGCUGUUCUGACGGUACCCAAAGAAUAAGCACCGGCUAACUUCGUG